CGGAGGGUGCAAGCGUUAUCCGGAUUCACUGGGUUUAAAGGGUGCGUAGGUGGGUCUGUAAGUCCGUGGUGAAAUCUCCGAGCUUAACUUGGAAACUGCCAUGGAUACUAUAGGUCUUGAAUACUGUGGAGGUCAGCGGAAUAUGUCAUGUAGCGGUGAAAUGCUUAGAUAUGACAUAGAACACCAAUUGCGAAGGCAGCUGGCUACACAAAUAUUGACACUGAUGCACGAAAGCGUGGGGAUCAAACAGGAUUAGAUACCCUGGUAGUCCACGCCCUAAACGAUGGAUACUCGACAUUUGCGAUAAACUGCAAGUGUCUGAGUGAAAGCAUUAAGUAUCCCACCUGGGAAGUACGAUCGCAAGAUUG
rnacentral:rRNA from 1 species